AAUCCAAGAAGGAAAAGCACCAGCAGUUCAGUUAUUGACAAGGCAGAGGCAGAACACUACUGGAAGGACCCAGAAGGAUCAGCCAGCCAUGCCUCCAGCGCAGGGUCAAUGUGAGAUGACAACAUCCCAACAGAAGAUGUGAAAGCAGCCGCAAGAAGGCUUCCUGACCCAACAGCAGACUGUUUAGCAUUAGGAGAGCCCGGGACAUGACCGAAGCAUCAGAUCUCGCCUAAGGAGCAGUGGACAAAGUGUGAGGAGUUAGAGCAGGACAAAGUGAAUCCUCUCAGAGAAGUUAUGGGGAGAAGAGAAGGAUGGGCGAAGAAGAGGUCUUGUGCUGAGGUCUCUGCAUGUGCCUGGUCCAGCAUAUUUUUAGGAAGUUGGUUCAACCUCAAUCACAAUUUAAGAAUUUUUUUUCUCUGCAAGUAAUUUUAAAUAAAUGCCCAUUGUAAUCAUA